rnacentral:lncRNA from 1 species
GGGGGAAAAAAAGAUCAUCCCCCUGCUCCCACGAUGGAAUGGAAGGGGUCCAUGUUGCAGAUAUAUGUGGCUGAACAACAUCCUGAUCAGCAGCAACUGAACCAUCCAGCAGCCAAACAUUGUCUUUGUCAUGAGGUAUGGGUAAGAAUUCCUCGAAUCUGAAGCUGUUUCGAAAUACUGGCAUGAAAGGAUCCAUUGGAUGAUAAUUCUGGGAAAGAGAAAGUUGUGUUUGUUGGCUACUGUCUGCUUCAUAGGUGUGUGAUGUUGAAGCUGAUGACCGAUCAACAUUCAGUUGGGUUUCUGAUUGAUCUGCAUAAACAAUUAUCAUUAAAUUGCAAUACCACCUAUACUGAUGUAGCCACAUAAUUUUCUUUGCAUACAAGUUCUAAUACCUUGGUCUAUAACUGAGCAGUCAGUGUGCUUCAAAUCUGAACCAUCUUGUGGAUUUGUCAGGGACUCCGAAGGGCCAACAAUUGCACGCCUGUCAAUCCUAACCAAGGCAUUUACAUUCCCGUAGGCUCGGCGCUUCAAAUCUUCCACCACUAGCUGCCAAUUCGAUAAAAAGUUGAUUAGUUACAAUCAGAUGCAGCAGCCAUGUGUGAACUUCAGUAAGUCUCUAUGUGCUGUGUCUCAUUUUGGUUACUAUAUGAGCUAUUGGCAAACUUUGCAACCGCUAUAAUUGGUGACUAAGAGACAAAUUAAUAAGGACUUCUAAUAUUUUAUCUUUAGCAUGAAAUCAAAAAUUGUAAGACUCUGAUCCAAUUUUGAUAAUAGUGGGAACAAAUCU